ACUGUGAAGUGGCUUCAAAAAAGGACUAGUUGUUCUUGAGAAGGGCUCUUGAGGAAUCCCUUGUAAGGACUAUCACAUCCCGACUCUGCCUCACAUCCUCUAUACCAAGAGCUGUUCAAUGUCUUCUAGAAUCACUACUAAUUUUAACUGCCAUAUGCCAGCAUGCUCUGAAGAAGCACGAAGAAGAAUGAAGAGGAGAAAAAAAACAACCACCCCGCAAUAUAAUGUGCUACGUGUCACCCAUGAGCAACAGCACACAGGAAAAACAAAGAGGAAGUUUGGAUCUCCCUCAUCCCCAGCUGUUGCUGUGCUGUGCAGUGUGGCUCCUCUCUCGAAAACCAGGACGCGGGCCCAAGGUGCAGACACACCCCAGGCCCUGAGACAGAUGGCAGCUUACACUGGGUGUGCCACAGCCUGUUGUUAAGGGAGUUGUGUAACCACUCACAUCUGAGUUCCUAUUGCACUUGUGCUGCAACGUAAUUAGUGGGGAAAGGGGGGCAAAGAAUGACACUGUUGUAGUAAUAUGUCACUAAUCUACUUCCUAAAAUAAAAUACAUGCACCUUGCCUUUCAAUGUGGUUCCAUACAAAUAUGUUCUGCAGAGCUGAAUGGUGAUACUCCACCGUUCUGAGGUAGGAUUCAGCCCUCCGGUUUUUUCUACAGAAGGUUUUCAUCGUGAGUGUUCCGACACCGAAAAUAACACAACUUUAAGCUGCACUUGAGUCGAAGGUCCGCAUCUGUGUUCCGCACGCAGCUCCCU
rnacentral:lncRNA from 1 species